UACGAAGGGGGCUAGCGUUGUUCGGAUUUACUGGGCGUAAAGCGCACGUAGGCGGAUUGUUAAGUGAGGGGUGAAAUCCCAGGGCUCAACCCUGGAACUGCCUUUCAUACUGGCAAUCUCGAGUCCGGAAGAGGUGAGUGGAACUCCUAGUGUAGAGGUGGAAUUCGUAGAUAUUAGGAAGAACACCAGUGGCGAAGGCGGCUCACUGGUCCGGUACUGACGCUGAGGUGCGAAAGCCAGGGGAGCGAACGGG
rnacentral:rRNA from 1 species